GGGAAGGAACCAUAGCUCAGUGGUAGAACACAUGCCUUGCAUGGAGAUAGUCCCAGGUUCAAUUCCUGUCAUCCCCU